UACGUAGGGUGCGAGCGUUGUCCGGAAUUAUUGGGCGUAAAGGGCUCGUAGGCGGUUUGUCGCGUCGGGAGUGAAAAUCCAGGGCUUAACUCUGGACUGGCUUUCGAUACGGGCAGACUAGAGGUAUGCAGGGGAGAACGGAAUUCCUGGUGUAGCGGUGAAAUGCGCAGAUAUCAGGAGGAACACCGGUGGCGAAGGCGGGUCUCUGGGCCGAUACUGACGCUGAGGAGCGAAAGCGUGGGGAGCGAACAGG
rnacentral:rRNA from 1 species